UUCAGAGAAGAGAAACAUUUGGUCUGCUAGGGUUUUUCCUCAUCUUUCAAUCAUUGUCACUCUCUCAUCCUCUUCUUCUGCUGUAUCUCUCGUUCGCUUAUCAUCUCUGCUGCAACACGCCUCAGACGAUGUCACAACCUGCUUCCGCCGCCGCGCAACACGCUGCCGUCGCCAGGACAACACGCUUCCAGGUGAAAUAGAUACCUGAGUGAUUCUCUUGGUACGGGUGAAACCAUUGAUUUAUGCAUCUCUCACCACUUUUUAAGUCUUUCCUUCUUUUAAUGGCUUCCUCGUCUGAGUAGAAUUGAUAAUCUUAAUACUUAGGAAGCACUAGGAAUCAUAAUAUUGAAUCUAUUAGCAUAAAGUUGUGACAUAUAUAGUUUAAAUUUCUGAAUGUUAACUUUCUGGUUUAAUGCAUUGAUUUGAUUUACCGAUUUGUUACGCUUGAUAAAUGAACCUGAUGGACAUGAUAUUUAUCUGGUUGAUUUUUCUGCCUUUGAUUCGUUUAAAUGGGAAUUGCUGAUGCCUUCUUAGACCUAGUGAGUAAUGGGACCAUGUUGAGAGAAAAUAAUUUGAAGGAAAUUGAAGGUGAAACUAUGUUGGAAAGCUAGGUUAGCAGCCAUUAACUUUUAUUUUUGACCUUGACUAUCAUGAUCUAUUAGUCUCAAGAAUAAUAUUAAGUUCCAGUCUUCGGAUGACUGCUUCUGCAUUUGCCUUGAUAAAUUAUCUCUCAAUCUGACAAUUGAAUUUCCUCUAUAUUGUUCUUGUUGCAAGCAAAAAAUCAAUGAUCCAACGGACAGGAAUACUGGAAAGGACACAUGAGAUACUAUAAAGAUUAGAGGAACAUCUGAGGGCCAUUGGGCAAUUUACGGUCACUGCAAACAUGAAGGGAAGUAGUGCAAAGGAAGUAGUUGAGAGAGUAUUGAGUCAAACCAUCAUUAUAUGGGUUGCAGGGACCCAUUAUAAGUCCUGUUUUUUAGAAAUGGGAUGGGAAGGUAACAGCAGACUACUAUGCCAUAGUGAUAAGUACCCAAGAAGGCACUAUACAAGUCUAUACAGUAGCUAAGAGCGUGGCAUUCUUAUGUCACCCUUGACCUACAUUUUUGAUGAGGAAACGCCAAGAUGGCAUCAGCUACCUUCUGAACUUGGACUGUAGCAAUUUAUGAUCAAUGGAUGAAAUCUUUUUCAUAUACUAUGGACGUAGAAACGUACCGACUUUGAUGAAAGCUGCAAAGUACACCCUGUUCAGAAUUAGAAACUAAAAAUGCAUUUCUUGAUCUUCAUUUAUAGAAAAUUCUGGAUUGAUAUUGGUUGGAAGUAUUAUCGCGAGCAAGCCUGUAUUUUCCUCCUUUUUGUCUCUCUUUGGUACUUGUUAAUAAUAUGGAUAAAGAAGUGAGUUCGUUUUCUUGGUAGCCUUUAUUUUUUGUUUACUUCUUUAGUUCAAAAAGUCGAGUUAAAGUUGAAGGUUCAAUUGCUAUGAAAU